GUAGUCCGCGCCGUAAACGGUGGGCGCUAGUUGUGGGGACCUUCCACGGUCUCUGCGACGCAGCUAACGCAUUAAGCGCCCCGCCUGGGGAGUACGAUCGCAAGAUUAAAACUCAAAGGAAUUGACGGGGCCCCGCACAAGCAGCGGAGCAUGCGGCUUAAUUCGACGCAACGCGAAGAACCUUACCAAGGCUUGACAUAUACCGAAAAGCAGCAGAGAUGUUGUGUCCGCAAGGGCGGUAUACAGGUGGUGCAUGGUUGUCGUCAGCUCGUGUCGUGAGAUGUUGGGUUAAGUCCCGCAACGAGCGCAACCCUCGUUCUGUGUUGCCAGCAUUUAGUUGGGGACUCACAGGAGACUGCCGUGGUCAACACGGAGGAAGGUGGGGAUGACGUCAAAUCAUCAUGCCCCUUAUGUCUUGGGCUGCACGCAUGCUACAAUGGCAGGUACAAAGGGCUGCGAUACCGUAAGGUGGAGCGAAUCCCAAAAAGUCUGUCUCAGUUCGGAUUGAGGUCUGCAACUCGACCUCAUGAAGUCGGAGUUGUUAGUAAUCGUAGAUCAGCAACGCUACGGUGAAUACGUUCCCGGGGCUUGUACACACCGCCCGUCACGUCACGAAAGUCGGUAACACCCCAAAGUCAGUGGCCCAAC
rnacentral:rRNA from 1 species